GGGCGCGUCGUAUAAUGGUAGUACUUCGGUCUCCAAAACCGAAUGCGUAGGUUCGAUUCCUACCGCGCCUGCCA
rnacentral:tRNA from 1 species